rnacentral:rRNA from 1 species
AUUGAACGCUAGCGGCAGGCCUAACACAUGCAAGUCGAACGAGUGGCGGACGGGUGAGUAAUGUCUGGGAAAGUGCCUGAUGGAGGGGGAUAACUACUGGAAACGGUAGCUAAUACCGCAUACCAUCGGAUGUGCCCAGAUGGGAUUAGCUAGUUGGUGGGGUAACGGCUCACCAAGGCGACGAUCCCUAGCUGGUCUGAGAGGAUGACCAGCCACACUGUGACUGAGACACGGCCCAGACUCCUACGGGAGGCAGCAGUGGGGAAUAUUGCACAAUGGGGGAAAGCCUGAUGCAGCCAUGCCGCGUGUAUGAAGAAGGCCUUCGGGUUGUAAAGUACUUUUAGCGGGGAGGCGUUAUCUGCAGAAGAAGCACCGGCUAACUCCGUGCCAGCAGCCGCGGUAAUUC